rnacentral:rRNA from 1 species
CCCUUAGAUGUUCUGGGCCGCACGCGCGCUACACUGAUGCAUGCAACGAGUUUAUAACCUUGAUCUGACGGUCUGGGUAAUCUUCAAACUGUAUCGUGUUAGGGAUCGAUUCUUGCAAUUUUUAAUCGUAAACGAGGAAUUCCUAGUAAACGCAAGUCAUCAGCUUGCAUUGAUUACGUCCCUGCCCUUUGUACACACCGCCCGUCGACUCUACCGAUUGAAUGGUUCGGUGAAAACUUUGGACUGUGGCAUUGUCCUUCAUUGGACUUCGCCGUAGGAAAUUGUUUAAACCUCAUCAUUUAGAGGAAGAAUAAGUCGUAACA